rnacentral:rRNA from 1 species
UACAGAGGUCUCAAGCGUUGUUCGGAGUUACUGGGCGUAAAGGGUGUGUAGGCGGUUCUUUAAGUUUGGUGUGAAAUCUCCCGGCUCAACCGGGAGGGUGCGCCGAAUACUGAGGGACUCGAGUGCGGGAGAGGAAAGUGGAAUUCCUGGUGUAGCGGUGAAAUGCGUAGAUAUCAGGAGGAACACCGGUGGUGUAGACGGCUUUCUGGACCGUAACUGACGCUGAGACACGAAAGCGUGGGUAGCAAACAGG